GUGCUUGCUUUGGCAGCACAUAUACUCAAGUUGGAAAAAUACAUAACCCCAGCGCAAGGAUGACAUACAAAUUCGUGAAGUGUUCCAUGUUUAA
ensembl:snRNA U6 U6 spliceosomal RNA